GAUGAACGCUGGCGGUAUGCCUUACACAUGCAAGUCGUACGAGAGUUUUUAACUCUAGUGGCGGACGGGUGAGUAACACGUAAGAAUUUGCCUUUAGGAGGGGGACAACAACUGGAAACGGUUGCUAAUACCCCAUAUGCUUUCGAGUGAAAUGGAUUUCCGCCUAAAGAGAAGCUUGCGGCUGAUUAGCUUGUUGGUGAGGUAAUGGCUCACCAAGGCGACGAUCAGUAUCUGGUUUGAGAGGACGAUCAGACACACUGGAACUGAGACACGGUCCAGACUCCUACGGGAGGCAGCAGUGGGGAAUUUUCCGCAAUGGGCGAAAGCCUGACGGAGCAAUACCGCGUGAGGGAUGACGGCCUAUGGGUUGUAAACCUCUUUUUUCAGGGAGGAAUCAAUGACGUGUACCUGAAGAAUAAGCAUCGGCUAACUCCGUGCCAGCAGCCGCGGUAAGACGGAGGAUGCAAGUGUUAUCCGGAAUCACUGGGCGUAAAGCGUCUGUAGGUGGUCAAAUAAGUCAACUGUUAAAUCUUGAGGCUCAACCUCAAAAUCGCAGUCGAAACUAUUAGACUAGAGUAUAGUAGGGGUAAAGGGAAUUUCCAGUGGAGCGGUGAAAUGCGUAGAGAUGGAAGGAACACCGAUGGCGAAGGCACUUUACUGGGC
rnacentral:rRNA from 1 species